GGGAAAGGGAGAUUGGGGCUACCGGGAGUUGUAGGAAUGGGCUAUUUGGGAUGAACGAAAGGGGAAUAAAAUUCUUCCCCAAACUGCACAUUCCUCUGAUUUCAGGUGGUUCCUCCCUUUCCAUUCCAUCUCUACAUGGGUUAUAUAUAUUCUACUGCCUUCAUUUGUAACCAGGCUGAUCGAGUACGAGGAGUGACUGGCGGCGGAGCUUGGAUCUUUCCUUUGGGGCCGGGACUAUAUAUGGCAUCUUCGUCCCUUGUCUUCUUCCGUUUCUCGCUGGUGACUAGCCAUGAGAGACUUUUGUUCCACGACACAGAGCGGUCGGGAGUUCUGUUCCAUCAUCCAUGCUUUGGCUAACUCAUAUUUUUAGGGGAUAUAAAUUCUUUUUCUCUCAAGAUUUUGGGCAGAUUGUUAAGUUAACGUUGGAAAUAUUAUAUGACUGGUUUUGUUUCUGAGAAGAUUAUUAAGGCGUGGUAGGCUAAGUUUACAAAAAACAUGCCAAUAUAACUUUUAAUUUAUUCA